rnacentral:rRNA from 1 species
GACGAACGCUGGCGGCGUGCCUAAUACAUGCAAGUCGAACGCAGUGGGGACGGGUGAGUAACACGUGGGUAACCUCCCAUCAGAGGGGAUAACACUUGGAAACAGGUGCUAAACCGAUACUGAUGGAUGGACCCUCGGUGCAUUUGCUAGUUGGUGAGGUAACGGCUAACCUAGGCUACGAUCCAUAGCUGGGCUGAGAGGGUGAUCGGCCACACUGGGACUGAGACACGGCCCAGACUCCUACGGGAGGCAGCAGUGGGGAAUAUUGCACAAUGGGCGAAAGCCUGAUGCAGCCAGGCCGCGUGUAUGAAGAAGGCCCUAGGGUUGUAAAGUACUUUUAGUCGGGAGGCGUUACCGACAGAGGAAGCACCGGCUAACUCCGUGCCAGCAGCCGCGGUAAUUC